GGCCACGAAGUUUCAAUCGCCUGCACGUGGUAUUGGAACAAUAUAAAGAUUAGUAUGGCCCCUAUGCAAGGAUGACACCUAAAUUUGUGAAGUGUCCCCUAUUACG
ensembl:snRNA U6 U6 spliceosomal RNA